rnacentral:lncRNA from 1 species
GGACAGGUCAGUUUUAUCGCCCAUUCAUAUUCAUGCCAAUUGAUUAAUUGAGAGGUUAAUCCUGCAUUCCAAAUGAUUAAUUGAGAGGUUAAUCAUGUCUCCGUAUAUUCAUGCGAGCCUAUAAAAUCCCAACCUUGCCGCUGCCCCUUUCCUACUCUGCUCAUUUUUGCAAACCAAUCUCCAGUACAAAAAGCGAUGGGUGAUGCUUGGGUUCCACCUCUUUUUGGUUUCAAGGUGAUGUGCUGGUUCCAAUUCUCAGUUGUUGUCUAUAUAUAUAUAUAUAUAUAUAUAUAUAUAUAUAUAUAUAUAUAUAUAUAUAUAUAUAUAUAUAUAUAUAUAUAUAUAUAUAUACUGAUAUGUUAUCUGUCUAAUUCUCAAUUUGAAAUGAUUACAGCUUCUCUCCAAGUAGGAAUUUUAGCUACGGACUGGUUGGUUUCUUUGGUUCUUCGAGCUGAUCCAAUGGCAAUUUUAGACGCCUGAUGUUAAGUCGGGCCCAGUGGGCUCUCUGUUGACCGUUGUAGCACUCUCCGUCUGGUGUUAAACCAC